rnacentral:rRNA from 1 species
GAGGAAUAUUGAUCAAUGGACGGAAGUCUGAACCAGCCAAGUAGCGUGCAGGAUGACGGCCCUAUGGGUUGUAAACUGCUUUUGUAUGGGGAUAAAGUCAAUCACGUGUGAUUGUUUGCAGGUACCAUACGAAUAAGGACCGGCUAAUUCCGUGCCAGCAGCCGCGGUAAUACGGAAGGUCCGGGUGUUAUCCGGAUUUAUUGGGUUUAAAGGGAGCGUAGGCCGGAGAUUAAGUGUGUUGUGAAAUGUAGACGCUCAACGUCUGACUUGCAGCGCAUACUGGUUUCCUUGAGUACGCACAACGUUGGCGGAAUUCGUCGUGUAGCGGUGAAAUGCUUAGAUAUGACGAAGAACUCCGAUUGCGAAGGCAGCUGACGGGAGCGCAACUGACGCUUAAGCUCGAAGGUGCGGGUAUCGAACAGGAUUAGAUACCCUGGUAGUCCGCACAGUAAACGAUGGAUGCCCGCUGUUGGUACCUGGUAUCAGCGGCUAAGCGAAAGCAUUAAGCAUCCCACCUGGGGAGUACGCCGGCAACGGUG